rnacentral:rRNA from 1 species
AGUGAACGCUGGCGGUAGGCCUAACACAUGCAAGUCGAACGGCAGCACAGUAAGAGCUUGCUCUUACGGGUGGCGAGUGGCGUACGGGUGAGGAAUACAUCGGAAUCUACUUUUUCGUGGGGGAUAACGUAGGGAAACUUACGCUAAUACCGCAUACGACCUACGGGUGAAAGCAGGGGAUCUUCGGACCUUGCGCGAUUGAAUGAGCCGAUGUCGGAUUGGCUAGUUGGCGGGGUAAAGGCCCACCAAGGCGACGAUCCGUAGCUGGUCUGAGAGGAUGAUCGGCCACACUGGAACUGAGACACGGUCCAGACUCCUACGGGAGGCAGCAGUGGGGAAUAUUGGACAAUGGGCGCAAGCCUGAUCCAGCCAUACCGCGUGGGUGAAGAAGGCCUUCGGGUUGUAAAGCCCUUUUGUUGGGAAAGAAAAGCAGCAGGUUAAUACCCCGCUGUUCUGACGGUACCCAAAGAAUAAGCACCGGCUAACUUCGUG